AGAAGUUCUACUGUGUAUGAAAUGCUAUCAAACAGUUUUACAGGCUACAGAUAAGUAUUUCUUAAAAGGAAUAGUCAAUUGAGGUAAUAAACUUUACGUUGUCUUAUUUUAAAAAUGCCACAGCCACCCCAACGCUCGGCAACUACCACCCUGAUCAAUCAGCAGCCAUCAACACUGAGGCAACACCCUCCACCGGCAAAAAGAUUAUGACUCACUGAAGGCACUGGUGCUCAUUAGCGUUUUGUAGCAAUAAAGUUUUUUAAAUUAAGUGGUCUGGAACUGAACCCACAAUAUCUCCAAGUCAUACUUCAAUGAAGCUGGAGAAAAAGAUAAAAGGAAAGGGCAAAUGCUACAAAAAAUAAUAAAAGACUGGACCACUAAAAACAGAAACCUGGAAUUAUCCCAACCAGAUGCAGCAGAGGAUGGAAGCCAGAACUGGAUGGUCAGUGAAAUAAUUGAUUAACAAUCUGUGGAACAGCUGCAACAAUUCCCUACUUUCAGUGCUGCACGCUCUGAUGUUCUCCAUCCAGCUAAACUCACAGGAAUAGUUUAGGGACUAAUAGUGAAUCUGCUAUUGGAUAUUCCCAACAUAAGUAUCCUGAGGAGCUAGGGGGUGUCUCAAAUUGAGAAAGCUAAUUAUCUCAUACUCAAAGAGAAAGACAGGCUGAUCACAUGUUCCCAUCCUGUACUUUCACAUAAGCUCAAAAUUCUAUCAGAAUUUGAAUUUUCUGCUAGGGAAACAGAAUAUUCACUGGUGAUGAAUAAAAACAUAUUCCAGAAAAAUAUACCACUCUUAUAAGAACAUUGCACUAUAAACAGAUGACUAAGAUUUUCCAUGAAACACUUAAGA